GACGAACGCUGGCGGCGUGCUUAACACAUGCAAGUCGAACGGAAAGGCCCUGCUUUUGUGGGGUGCUCGAGUGGCGAACGGGUGAGUAACACGUGAGUAACCUGCCCUUGACUUUGGGAUAACUUCAGGAAACUGGGGCUAAUACCGGAUAGGAGCUCCUGCUGCAUGGUGGGGGUUGGAAAGUUUCGGCGGUUGGGGAUGGACUCGCGGCUUAUCAGCUUGUUGGUGGGGUCGUGGCUUACCAAGGCUUUGACGGGUAGCCGGCCUGAGAGGGUGACCGGCCACAUUGGGACUGAGACACGGCCCAGACUCCUACGGGAGGCAGCAGUGGGGAAUAUUGCACAAUGGGCGGAAGCCUGAUGCAGCAACGCCGCGUGCGGGAUGACGGCCUUCGGGUUGUAAACCGCUUUCGCCUGUGACGAAGCGUGAGUGACGGUAAUGGGUAAAGAAGCACCGGCUAACUACGUG
rnacentral:rRNA from 1 species